rnacentral:rRNA from 1 species
GACGCUGGCGGCAGGCCUAACACAUGCAAGUCGAACGCUGUAGCAAUACAGAGUGGCAGACGGGUGAGUAACACGUGGGAAUCUUCCUAUCGGUACGGAAUAGCUCAGGGAAACUUGGGGUAAUACCGCAUACGCCCUUCGGGGGAAAGAUUUAUCGCCGAUAGACGAGCCCGCGUCUGAUUAGCUAGUUGGUGAGGUAAUGGCUCACCAAGGCGACGAUCAGUAGCUGGUCUGAGAGGAUGAUCAGCCACACUGGGACUGAGACACGGCCCAGACUCCUACGGGAGGCAGCAGUGGGGAAUAUUGGACAAUGGGCGAAAGCCUGAUCCAGCCAUGCCGCGUGAGUGACGAAGGUCUUCGGAUUGUAAAGCUCUUUUGGCGGGGACGAUAAUGACGGUACCCGCAGAAUAAGCCCCGGCUAACUUCGUGCCAGCAGCCGCGGUAAUACGAAGGGGGCUAGCGUUGUUCGGAAUUACUGGGCGUAAAGCGCACGUAGGCGGAUUGCUAAGUCAGGGGUGAAAUCCCGGGGCUCAACCUCGGAACUGCCUUUGAUACUGACAUCUUGAGUCC